AAUCUGAGAGCCGAGAACCACCAGUAACAGCCCUAAAGCAGAGAAACGUGAGUUCAUCAUCAUCAGAUUCUGAAACAGAAGCUCCUGUGAAACCAAAGCUGCGUAGGAAAAAGCAACGGGUUAGGAGCAGACCCCACUUUGAUUGGUGUGAUGAGCAAUGUUGUGAUAGUUCAUGUGGGGAGUAUACUUAUUCUGAUGAGUGUGGGUGCGGAUCUGAGCAGUGGUCAUCCAGGCCAAGGGUAUCCUAUCGUGUGCUCAAGUGCUGCAGUUCGAGCGAAGAUUGGUCAUCAUGUGAAUGUGAGACGCCGAGUCCUAGCCAGAAUCAUUACUCUUAUUGUAGGGCUGUGUGUUUCACAUCAGCAUCUGAGAGUGAGGAGGAUGUCACUGAUGGCUGUGUACUUACAAUACCUACAGAGAAAACAGCAGCUGAGGAGCAGGACGAAUCGGUCAAAGAACCAUCUAUGGGAACUGGACCCCGAGAGUCUGAAGAGGUGAUUGUGGAACCUGAGGGGAGAGAACGAGUACCCCCCAAUCCCAGAAACGCCUCGGGAGUACCGGUGUGUCGAUCAGAGUUGUUGGAUGUGCAAAGAUCGUGAGACACCAUGGCCAUCCAGCCCUACAGAGGAUUACUUAAGGGAUGUAAGCGUUACAUCAGCAGCUGAAGGUGGGGAGGAAUGUAUGGAUAGUGGUCUGGUAACCACGGCCAUGCCUGAAGAGCAAAAUGUAAAUGAGGAGGUUCCCAAGAUGGCCAGGACCAUUGAGAACAUGCAUCUAGGCGAUGUCAGCGUUUCCUGUAUCACAUGUGUCUGUACUGAAAACGAUCAAUAAAAGAAUUUUGUUUGAAAAAA